rnacentral:rRNA from 1 species
GUAAUAAUCCUGUAGUCGAAAAUGUUGUCUCUCUUGAGUGGAUCCUGAGUACGACGGAGCACGUGAAAUUCCGUCGGAAUCUGGGAGGACCAUCUCCUAAGGCUAAAUACUCUCUAGUGACCGAUAGUGAACCAGUACCGUGAGGGAAAGGUGAAAAGCACCCCGGAAGGGGAGUGAAAUAGAACCUGAAACCGUGUGCUUACAAGUAGUCAGAGCCCGUUAAUGGGUGAUGGCGUGCCUUUUGUAGAAUGAACCGGCGAGUUACGAUUUGAUGCAAGGUUAAGCAGUAAAUGUGGAGCCGUAGCGAAAGCGAGUCUGAAUAGGGCGUUUAGUAUUUGGUCGUAGACCCGAAACCAGGUGAUCUACCCUUGGUCAGGUUGAAGUUCAGGUAACACUGAAUGGAGGACCGAACCGACUUACGUUGAAAAGUGAGCGGAUGAACUGAGGGUAGCGGAGAAAUUCCAAUCGAACCUGGAGAUAGCUGGUUCUCUCCGAAAUAGCUUUAGGGCUAGCCUCAAGUGAUGAUUAUUGGAGGUAGAGCACUGUUUGGACGAGGGGCCCCUCUCGGGUUACCGAAUUCAGACAAACUCCGAAUGCCAAUUAAUUUAACUUGGGAGUCAGAACAUGGGUGAUAAGGUCCGUGUUCGAAAGGGAAACAGCCCAGACCACCAGCUAAGGUCCCAAAAUAUAUGUUAAGUGGAAAAGGAUGUGGCGUUGCCCAGACAACUAGGAUGUUGGCUUAGAAGCAGCCAUCAUUUAAAGAGUGCGUAAUAGCUCACUAGUCGAGUGACACUGCGCCGAAAAUGUACCGGGGCUAAACAUAUUACCGAAGCUGUGGAUUGUCCUUUGGACAAUGGUAGGAGAGCGUUCUAAGGGCGUUGAAGCAUGAUCGUAAGGACAUGUGGAGCGCUUAGAAGUGAGAAUGCCGGUGUGAGUAGCGAAAGACGGGUGAGAAUCCCGUCCACCGAUUGACUAAGGUUUCCAGAGGAAGGCUCGUCCGCUCUGGGUUAGUCGGGUCCUAAGCUGAGGCCGACAGGCGUAGGCGAUGGAUAACAGGUUGAUAUUCCUGUACCACCUAUAAUCGUUUUAAUCGAUGGGGGGACGCAGUAGGAUAGGCGAAGCGUGCGAUUGGAUUGCACGUCUAAGCAGUAAGGCUGAGUAUUAGGCAAAUCCGGUACUCGUUAAGGCUGAGCUGUGAUGGGGAGAAGACAUUGUGUCUUCGAGUCGUUGAUUUCACACUGCCGAGAAAAGCCUCUAGAUAGAAAAUAGGUGCCCGUACCGCAAACCGACACAGGUAGUCAAGAUGAGAAUUCUAAGGUGAGCGAGCGAACUCUCGUUAAGGAACUCGGCAAAAUGACCCCGUAACUUCGGGAGAAGGGGUGCUCUUUAGGGUUAACGCCCAGAAGAGCCGCAGUGAAUAGGCCCAAGCGACUGUUUAUCAAAAACACAGGUCUCUGCUAAACCGUAAGGUGAUGUAUAGGGGCUGACGCCUGCCCGGUGCUGGAAGGUUAAGAGGAGUGGUUAGCUUCUGCGAAGCUACGAAUCGAAGCCCCAGUAAACGGCGGCCGUAACUAUAACGGUCCUAAGGUAGCGAAAUUCCUUGUCGGGUAAGUUCCGACCCGCACGAAAGGCGUAACGAUUUGGGCACUGUCUCAACGAGAGACUCGGUGAAAUCAUAGUACCUGU